AUUGAACGCUGGCGGCAUGCUUUACACAUGCAAGUCGAACGGUAACAGGCCGCAAGGUGCUGACGAGUGGCGAACGGGUGAGUAAUGCAUCGGAACGUGCCCAGUCGUGGGGGAUAACUACUCGAAAGAGUAGCUAAUACCUCAUACGAUCUAUGGAUGAAAGCGGUGGGCCGUAAGGCCUCGCGCGAUUGGAGCGGCCGAUGUCAGAUUAGGUAGUUGGUGGGGUAAAGGCGCACCAAGCCAACGAUCUGUAGCUGUUCUGAGAGGACGACCAGCCACACUGGGACUGAGACACGGCCCAGACUCCUACGGGAGGCAGCAGUGGGGAAUUUUGGACAAAGGGCGCAAGCCUGAUCCAGAAAUGCCGCGUGCAGGAAGAAGGCCUUCGGGUUGUAAACUGCUUUUGUACGGAACGAAACGGCUCUGGUUAAUACCCGGGGCUAAUGACGGUACCGUAAGAAUAAGCACCGGCUAACUACGUG
rnacentral:rRNA from 1 species